UGGAGAUGGCUCAGAGAAAGUCAGUUGUGCAUGAAGGCUUCAUGGUAGCUGAAGAACCAGGUGGAGGAACCAAACGACAGACGCCCAGGCAGUAAGUGUGGCUACCACCUUGCAUCUCUUUACAGCAAAUGGAACAUCACAGAAAACCACAACUGGACACAACCCAGAUCAAGAGAUGGUGGGGAGCCCAGCCCCAAAGAUAAUCAUGAUAUGAAUAGCACCAACCUCUGGAUCCUGCUGCUAUGGAUGGAGGUGAACCUCCAACCACACCUUCCCUGCUAUGAUAUCCUAUAUCCAUUGAAACCAUGAGCCAAAAUACACCCCUUUUCAUGCAAGCUGCUUUUGUCAAGUAAUUCUACUAUAGUGAUGAGAAAAUACACAGUAUUUGUAGCAAGUCAACACAGCUUUGGCAAUUGAAAACAGAAGAAAUAUUCUUUCACAGUGCUAGAGUCCAGAAACCAAAAAUUGGUAUCCCUCAGAUAAAGUCAUGAUGCUAGCAGGUCCAUGCUCCUUCUGAAGCUGUAGAAAAGAAUCUAUUCUUUGUCUGCUCCCAUUUUUUGAUGUAUGUUACUUUCAUUAAGGGCCCUUCCAGAUAAUCUGGGUACAUAUCCCCAUCUCACAGUCUUUAUCCUAAUGCAUCUGCAAAGCCUCUUUUUUUCCUCAAUAAGGGACUAUUUAUAAUUUCUAAGAAGUAUGAUGUGGAUACAUGGGGUGUCAUUUUGUAUCCAUGUCCCAACAAUGUUUCUUUUGAAAUUCAUCAAUGGUUCCUAAAAUUCAUGCGGAAGUACAAAGUGUAAAGGAUUGCUGAAACAAUUUGGAAGGACAACAAUGAGAGACGAUGGAGAUGCCACAGCUUCUAGAGAACAUUAAAGAAACAUUAAUGAGACAUUUUGUUACGAGCAGAACAGAAAGAUAAACUAUCUUGGCGGAAGAGAUAGCUCCCAAAAUGGUCCACAAAGAUAGGGGAAUUAGGUAAGCCAUAGAGUUAGCAUUCCAUAUCAAAGUGCAAAACAUGGAUUAUUCAAUAUGUGAUAUUUGGACAAUUAGCUCUCCAGAUGGUAGAAAGGAAGAUGAAAUUCCUAUCUAAUGUGACAUACAAUAACUUCCAUAUGGAUUAAAGAUCUUGAUGUUAAAUAGCAACUCUUUAAUCUUUACAUGAAAAUAUCUUGUUACCUUGAUGCAAGACAGGAUUCUUUAAUUAAGGAAUGAAAUCACAUACCAAAAAAGAAAUUAAGUGUACCACUAUUUAAAUUAUUAACUUCUCUUAUUCAGUAAAAAAAAAAAUGCCCAUAACAAAUUUUAUAAACUACAUGCAUAUGCAGAAGUUUAGAAUUUACAAAUUAUAUAGGUACCGAAUGAUAAUCAAGAGCAGUAGAGUAUAUUUUUUGCAGAUAUUUAAGAAAUGCCAAAAAUUUAAUAAGACAACAGACAGAGUAAUGCCAUGGAUCCUAAAACGAUGAAAAGUUGUUCAUUCAUCCAGUCACCUCUAUUGUUUUGGAAAAAAAGAAGCUUUGAUGAUACACAUAUAAAUGAAAAUGGUUUUCAAUUAAAAACU